rnacentral:hammerhead_ribozyme from 1 species
UGUCGAAACGCUCCGUCAGGAGCGUCAGUAAGUGGAUAAGCUCCUUGCUCUGAUGAGACAGCUCCCU